rnacentral:misc_RNA from 1 species
AAAGUCGUAACAAGGUUUCCGUAGGUGAACCUGCGGAAGGAUCAUUACCGUGGGGCUUCGGCCCCGUCGUGAUAGAACCCUUGCCUUUUUGAGUACCGUCCGUUUCCUCGGCAGGCUCGCCUGCCAAUGGGGACCCAAAACCAAACUCUUUUUAUCAUCUGUACCAGUCUGAAAAACAAACAAAAGUUAAAACUUUCAACAACGGAUCUCUUGGUUCUG